CAACCCCAGAAGAAAUUCUGUUUCCCUUUCCAAAUCCAUCUGCUCACCUGGCCAAGAUCGAAGUUGGCCUGAACAUCAAUCUUGUCGAUGGGAUUCUCUGGGGCUGGGCGUUUUUUGGGGCCCUGGGCAGCGCCGGGUGCAGCAAGGAGCAGGGGGAGCAAGAGGACGAAAGGGAACGAGGUGGGACCCAUGGCCGGACUGCGAAGAGCUUGUGGGGCAGGAGAGGAGGGGGCGAGAGCUGGUCAGUCAUUAACCAGCCCUAUGAAUUUUCCUGAAAGGCCGAAGCCAAGGCUGACCCAAAGGGAGCAAAGUCUCGCUAGCUUGUGAAAUCUACACCUGUCAGCGCAUGGCAGAGACUUCCCUGGCGCCACCAUGAAAAGGGGAGUGGAGCAGAGUGGACACAGCUGGACAUGUGUUGCCGCCUUGGAGCAAAUAGCCGGUCUCCACAGGUUCCUCAAUUGAAUUCCCUGGGCAUCCUGGCCACUCUUUUGUUACUCAGUUCCUGAAUCCAGGCCACAGGCUCACACCCUAUUCCUAUCUUAAAGGUGCCCUUAAGACCGGAUUUGUGAAAGAGACGAUGGGGAGAUUUCCGAUUUCCGUCAACCUUGCAGAGAAAUAUUUGAGGUCAUUUUGGGAGAGAGAAAAUGAUUUCAGGACUUUUCUGUGGCUUUCAGACACGUGGUUUACAUAUUUGUAUGUGUUUGCUUGGUACAUUUAUGA